GAUGAACGCUGGCGGCGUGCCUAAUACAUGCAAGUCGAGCGAACGGACGAGAAGCUUGCUUCUCUGAUGUUAGCGGCGGACGGGUGAGUAACACGUGGAUAACCUACCUAUAAGACUGGGAUAACUUCGGGAAACCGGAGCUAAUACCGGAUAAUAUUUUGAACCGCAUGGUUCAAAAGUGAAAGACGGUCUUGCUGUCACUUAUAGAUGGAUCCGCGCUGCAUUAGCUAGUUGGUAAGGUAACGGCUUACCAAGGCAACGAUGCAUAGCCGACCGGAGAGGGUGAUCGGCCACACUGGAACUGAGACACGGUCCAGACUCCUACGGGAGGCAGCAGUAGGGAAUCGUCCGCAAUGGGCGAAAGCCUGACGGAGCAACGCCGCGUGAGUGAUGAAGGUCUUCGGAUCGUAAAACUCUGUUAUUAGGGAAGAACAUAUGUGUAAGUAACUGUGCACAUCUUGACGGUACCUAAUCAGAAAGCCACGGCUAACUACGUG
rnacentral:rRNA from 1 species